UGAACUCAAAUUUGUAUGGAGUUGGAACGUUCGCCGCUAGGGGCGUUGUUCCAACUGCAUACAAAUUUGAGUUA
rfam:Bombyx mori DNA, contig: Bm_scaf106_contig36749, strain: p50T/Dazao, build 2, whole genome shotgun sequence.